UACGGGGGGAGCAAGCGUUGUUCGGAUUUACUGGGCGUAAAGGGCGCGUAGGCGGCCACCGCAAGUCGACUGUGAAAUCUCCGGGCUUAACCCGGAAAGGUCAGCCGAUACUGCGGGGCUAGAGUGCAGAAGGGGCAACUGGAAUUCUCGGUGUAGCGGUGAAAUGCGUAGAUAUCGAGAGGAACACCUGCGGCGAAGGCGGGUUGCUGGGCUGACACUGACGUUGAGGCGCGAAAGCUAGGGGAGCAAACAGG
rnacentral:rRNA from 1 species